rfam:Schistosoma margrebowiei strain Zambia genome assembly, scaffold: SMRZ_scaffold0000013
AUCCAGUUGACGAGUCCCAAAUAGGACGAGAUACGCGUCCUAGAU